rnacentral:rRNA from 1 species
AACGUACGCUGGCGGCACGCCUAACACAUGCAAGUCGAACGAAGUAGCAAUACUUAGUGGCAGACGGGUGAGUAACAUGUAGGUAUCUGCCCUUUGGCCUGGAAUAACACGAGGAAACUUGUGCUAAUACCGGAUAAGUCUUUACGGAGAAAGCUUUAUGCACCAUUGGAUGAGCCUGCACUUGAUUAGUUUGUUGGUGGGGUAAUGGCCUACCAAGACUGUGAUCAAUAGCUGAUUUGAGAGGAUGAUCAGCCACAUUGGGACUGAGACACGGCCCAAACUCCUACGGGAGGCAGCAGUGGGGAAUCUUGCACAAUGGAGGAAACUCUGAUGCAGCGAUGCCGCGUGAGUGAAGAAGGCCUUUGGGUUGUAAAGCUCUUUCGUCGGGGAAGAAAAUGACUGUACCCGAAUAAGAAGGUCCGGCUAACUUCGUGCCAGCAGCCGCGGUAAUACGAAGGGACCUAGCGUAGUUCGGAAUUACUGGGCUUAAAGAGUUCGUAGGUGGUUGAAAAAGUUGGUGGUGAAAUCCCAGAGCUUAACUCUGGAACUGCCAUCAAAACUUUUCAGCUAGAGUAUGAUAGAGGAAAGCAGAAUUUCUAGUGUAGAGGUGAAAUUCGUAGAUAUUAGAAAGAAUACCAAUUGCGAAGGCAGCUUUCUGGAUCAUUACUGACACUGAGGAACGAAAGCAUGGGUAGCGAAGAGGAUUAGAUACCCUCGUAGUCCAUGCCGUAAACGAUGUGUGUUAGACGUUGGAAAUUUAUUUUCAGUGUCGCAGCGAAAGCGAUAAACACACCGCCUGGGGAGUACGACCGCAAGGUUAAAACUCAAAUGAAUUGACGGGGACCCGCACAAGUAGUGGAGCAUGUGGUUUAAUUCGAAGAUACGCGCAGAACCUUACCAACACUUGACAUGUUCGUCGCGACUUUGAGAGAUCAAAGUUUUCGGUUCGGCCGGACGAAACACAGGUGCUGCAUGGCUGUCGUCAGCUCGUGUCGUGAGAUGUUGGGUUAAGUCCCGCAACGAGCGCAACCCUCACUUUUAGUUGCCAUCAUUAAGUUGGGCACUCUGAAAGAACUGCCAGUGAUAAGCUGGAGGAAGGUGGGGAUGACGUCAAGUCCUCAUGGCCCUUACGUGUUGGGCUACACACGUGCUACAAUGGUAUCUACAACAGGAAGCAAGACUGCGAAGUUAAGCAAAUCCUUAAAAGAUACCUCAGUUCGGAUUGCACUCUGCAACUCGAGUGCAUGAAGCUGGAAUUACUAGUAAUCGUGGAUCAGCGUGCCACGGUGAAUGCGUUCCCGGGUCUUGUACACACCGCCCGUCACACCAUGGGAGUUGGUUCUACCUUAAGGCAAGGUUUUAAACCCUUGACCACGGUAUAGUCAGCGACUGGGGUG